GAUGAACGCUAGCGGGAGGCUUAACACAUGCAAGCCGAGGGAGAAGUUGUCUUCGGAUAAUGGACACCGGCGGACGGGUGCGCAACGCGUAUGCAACUUGCCCUUAUCAGGGGGAUAGCCCAGGGAAACUUGGAUUAAUACCCCAUAAUAAUAUUUAUAGCAUUAUAGAUAUUUAAAAGAAUUAUCGGAUAAGGAUAGGCAUGCGUAUGAUUAGCUAGUUGGUACGGUAACGGCGUACCAAGGCAAUGAUCAUUAGGGGGCCUGAGAGGGUGAUCCCCCACACUGGGACUGAGACACGGCCCAGACUCCUACGGGAGGCAGCAGUGAGGAAUWUUGGACCAAUUGGGUGAGAGCCUGAUCCAGCCAUYCCGCGUGCAGGAAGACGGCCUUAUGGGUUGUAAACUGCUUUUAUAUAGGAAUAAAUCUACUCUCGUGAGGGGUAAUUGAAGGUACUAUAUGAAUAAGCAUCGGCUAACUCCGUGCCAGCAGCCGCGGUAAUACGGAGGAUGCGAGCGUUAUCCGGAUUUAUUGGGUUUAAAGGGUCCGUAGGCGGGCUAAUAAGUCAGUGGUGAAAUCGUGCAGCUUAACUGUGCAACUGCCAUUGAUACUGUUGGUCUUGAGUGAAUUUGAAGUUGCCGGAAUAUGUAGUGUAGCGGUGAAAUGCAUAGAUAUUACAUAGAACACCAAUUGCGAAGGCAGGUAACUAAGGUUUAACUGACGCUGAUGGACGAAAGCGUGGGGAGCGAACAGGAUUAGAUACCCUGGUAGUCCACGCUGUAAACGAUGAUUACUCGUUUUCGGUACAUAGUAUCGGAGGCCAAGCGAAAGUGAUAAGUAAUCCACCUGGGGAGUACGUUCGCAAGAAUGAAACUCAAAGGAAUUGACGGGGGCCCSCCACAAGCGGUGGAGCAUGUGGGUUUAAUUCGAUGAUACGCCGAGGAACCUUACCCAAGGCUUAAAAUGCAUAAUGACAGGAGUGGAAACACUUUAUUCUUCGGACAGAAUGCAAGGUGCUGCAUGGCCUKUCGUCASCUCGUGCCGUGAGGUGUUAGGUUAAGUCCUGCAACGAGCGCAACCCCUAUCAUUAGUUGCUAACAGGUUAAGCUGAGGACUCUAAUGAGACUGCCAACGCAAGUUGAGAGGAAGGUGGGGACGACGUCAAGUCAUCACGGCCCUUACGUCUUGGGCUACACACGUGCUACAAUGGUCGGUACAGAGGGCAGCUACCACGCGAGUGGAUGCGAAUCUUUAAAGCCGAUCUCAGUUCGGAUUGGAGUCUGCAACUCGACUCUAUGAAGCUGGAAUCGCUAGUAAUCGCAAAUCAGCCAUGUUGCGGUGAAUACGUUCCCGGGCCU
rnacentral:rRNA from 1 species